UUACGACCAUAUCACAUUUAAUCACCGGUUUCCGUACGAUCACCAAAAUGAAUCAACAUCGAGCCGGUCAGUACUUAGAUGAGUGGCCGCUUGGAAAAUCUAGUUACUGUAAG